UAGGUUAACGAGGCGAACCGGGGGAACUGAAACAUCUAAGUACCCCGAGGAAAAGAAAUCAACCGAGAUUCCCCCAGUAGCGGCGAGCGAACGGGGAGCAGCCCAGAGCCUGAAUCAGCAUGUGUGGUAGUGGAACGGUCUGGAAAGGCCGGCGAUACAGGGUGACAGCCCCGUACACAAAACUGCAUGUGUUGUGAGCUCGAUGAGUAGGGCGGGACACGUGGUAUCCUGUCUGAAUAUGGGGGGACCAUCCUCCAAGGCUAAAUACUCCUGACUGACCGAUAGUGAACCAGUACCGUGAGGGAAAGGCGAAAAGAACCCCGGCGAGGGGAGUGAAAAAGAACCUGAAACCGUGUACGUACAAGCAGUGGGAGCCUCUUUAUGGGGUGACUGCGUACCUUUUGUAUAAUGGGUCAGCGACUUAUAUUCUGUAGCAAGGUUAACCGAAUAGGGGAGCCGAAGGGAAACCGAGUCUUAACUGGGCGUUAAGUUGCAGGGUAUAGACCCGAAACCCGGUGAUCUAGCCAUGGGCAGGUUGAAGGUUGGGUAACACUAACUGGAGGACCGAACCGACUAAUGUUGAAAAAUUAGCGGAUGACUUGUGGCUGGGGGUGAAAGGCCAAUCAAACCGGGAGAUAGCUGGUUCUCCCCGAAAGCU
rnacentral:rRNA from 1 species